CAAAGUGCCGUGAGUUCUUUUCAUCUUUGUCAUCACACUCAGGGUUCUGUGAUGGAGAGUGGUUUUCCAAGCACCAUCUCUUCUUGCUGUGGAAUCCUUUCCAGUUUGAGUCCUCAGUACCAGUCCUGGGUUAAGACUCAUUCUGCCACCACCACUGCCAGCAGGGGGAGACCUGCUCCUUGAAAUGCUACACUUAGGGGUUUGCAAAAAGGCUUCUUUUCCUUUCUUCCCUCACAGAGUGCCUGCCGCACAUUGGAGGUCAGGAACUGCACCUCUGCUCAGCCUUCUCCCAGACCACGCGAGGAUUUGAGUUUUCAGUCCUACACAGUGUGCCGCGAAGAGUUAACUUUGUGCUGAGUUUUGUUUGAAGAUACUUUCAAAGUCCCAGCACCAUGGGUCAGUGAGCGGAGAGGAGGGGGAUGUUCCAGCCUGUGUGUGGGGAUGGGAAUCAGCAGGUUCCAGACUGGCAGAGGCAGAGAUGAGCAAUAGCAGAUGCGUAUUCCAUUUUUCCUCAGGAAUCAAGUGCCUAAGCCCCCACCAGCCAGGUUAGUUCUCAGCUCAUAUUUUUAGGGCUAUCUGGAAGAACAGAGACAAUAAAAGGAGGUUUGGGUUACAGUCAGGGUGUCAGUAUACUAGGCAUGGGUUUGAUUUCAGGGACAGUGGAAACCCCUCCCACAAAGCUUCCUCCAGUAUAAGUGUUCAACCUGCAGCUGCUGUAGAACCCAAGACAAAUUCUCUCAUCAUAAGUGACACAGAGUGCUAUUUCCAGACGCUGUCCCAAGUGACUUGCCCAGAUUUACUCCUUUAAUCCUCGCACAGUCCUGUGACAUGGUUGUGGUAUCGUUCUUCUCGUUUUACAGAGGAGGAGACUAAGGUCAAGAGGCCAUGUCACUUGCCAAGUUCAUGGGUGGUAAGCAGUGGAGCAGGAAUCGGAUUCUGAGUCCUUGCUUCUGGCCGCUCUGCUAGGCUGCAUGUUUGGUGGAAAUGGUGCUACCACGCCCUUUCCCACUGUGCUGAGCAGACCAGUGGGGAGCGGAGCUGAAGGCACCAGGUCCAAGCACUUGUGAGAAAGGAUGCCAGGAGUGGAGACUGGGCACUGUAAAGGCAAAGUCUGCAGAAAACACCUCCAGCUGAUCCUUUCUUUCACUCUGCACAUGGCAGAGAUAUUUCUUGUGUGUGACAGGGUAUAUGCUGAUUUCAACCCACACAUCUUUCCAAACCACUCAGCAGCUGCCUUUUGCUUGUUUUAUCCCCUAUCUAGAAUCUUCCCGGUGGAAAGGUUUCUAAAGAGUCAUCUCCCCUCACUGAAGAUGAAGUCUGUGAUUUAAACUCACAACUUUUUCUCUGGAUGACUCUGAAAGCUGUUCAGUUGUCCCUUUGUGUAGACCCAUUUGACUUUAGAAGUUCUCCUUGGCCUUGUAUCUUCCCUCCCUUCUGUAAACAGCUUUCCAAUCACAACUGAGUUCCCCACCAUGGGGUCACCAAAGACAAGAAAUACAGGCCAGCACAGCAGAAAGCCAGACAGAGCUGUGGAACCUGACCCUCCCGUAAUAGGAAGCUGGCUAGAGAGCCCAAGAUCAGAGGCAGCCUCCAUGUAGACAUCAAUUACUCUUGAAAUUGAACACUUGCUGUGUCUUGUGGGUUGAUCUAAACUGGUUUGUAUUGUAAUUUAUUGGGUACCCAUCUCCCCCACUGAGUCUAAGCUCUUUCAGGGUAGGGAUUAUACUGAAUAUUUCUCUCCUGCAAAACAGGUUCUUCAUAGUAAGCAUUCAACCAACUUGACAUCGGGGGACCCCAGGUUCCUGAAAAGUUGACAGUGGGCUUCCAUAUCACUGACUGGACUUCAGAGAAGGAAGUCCCCGCCAACCAGAAUGGUGAGGGGUUUCCAGGGCCCCUGGUGCAAGGGUUGAAUGGACAUGCCCUUUUAUUUUAUUUUGUUGCUCCACUCUCUCCCACCUCCAGGCCUUUUGCACAUGACUAUAUGUGUCCUAUUGAGAAGCUGGAGUGAAAGUAGCUGCCCACAGGUUUUGCUCCACACUUGUGAUUCUAGCAAAGAAAUUCCAGAACCUCUGUUGCUCGUGCUGCCUCACCUU
ensembl:lncRNA